UCCUGCUGAACCGUCCACCCAAAGUGACUCGCCGUCCCUCAGCCCCGUGCCUGAACCGUCCACCCAAAGUGACUUGCCGUCCCUCAGCCCCGUGCCUGAGGUCACCUCUGGACAAACAGCUAGAAAAGCCAGAAGUAAACUCAAGAUCUUUAAGAUACGCAGCAGUGCAAAGAUUGCACCAACUAAGGAUGCUUCUGACAAGGGGCUGGAGUCAGAGGCAACCGUCACUCGUGCCCUAUCGGAUGAGGGUAUUGCUGCCGCACCUUCUGGUGACAGGAAGGAGCCGCGCAGACGGCCCUGGUACAAGAAGAUCUUCCUCAGGCUCAGCUGUUUUGGAGGCCCAGCUGAGAUCUGACCUGUCCAGCCCACCACCUAUACCCUUACACCCCAUCCUAACCCAAGCCUUCACCCCUACCCAACUCCCCAACUUGUUUACCAUAUCCACCCAUCCUACCACACACACACACACACACACACACACAUCACCUAUGCCAGCCACAUCACAAGGCUGCCCAUCACCAGGAGCGGAGCUACAGGGGUGGCUAGGGGGGCAUUUGACCCCCCUGAAAUCUGAUUGGCUACCCCAGGUGCUCCCCCAGAAAAUGGACAGGAGCCCCGCCCACUCGCGUUACACGAGGCACAUAGAUCGCCUGCAAAUCGCUAUCGCGAGUGAAGAAACAGAGCCAUACAGAGAACAGAGUUAUGCGAUUGCA